GCCCGUGUGGCGUAACGGCAGCCGCGCUGGUUUUAGAAACCAGUGCCUCACGGCGUGUAGGUUCGACUCCUACCACGGGUACCA
rnacentral:tRNA from 1 species